GAUGAACGCUGGCGGCGUGCCUAAUACAUGCCAGUCGAGCGAACGGACGAGAAGCCUGCUUCUCUGAUGUUAGCGGCGGACGGGUGAGUAACACGUGGAUAACCUACCUAUAAGACUGGGAUAACUUCGGGAAACCGGAGCUAAUACCGGAUGAUAUUUUGAACCGCAUGGUUCAAAAGUGAAAGACGGUCUUGCUGUCACUUAUAGAUGGAUCCGCGCUGCAUUAGCUAGUUGGUAAGGUAACGGCUUACCAAGGCAACGAUGCAUAGCCGACCUGAGAGGGUGAUCGGCCACACUGGAACUGAGACACGGUCCAGACUCCUACGGGAGGCAGCAGUAGGGAAUCUUCCGCAAUGGGCGAAAGCCUGACGGAGCAACGCCGCGUGAGUGAUGAAGGUCUUCGGAUCGUAAAACUCUGUUAUUAGGGAAGAACAUAUGUGUAAGUAACUGUGCACAUCUUGACGGUACCUAAUCAGAAAGCCACGGCUAACUACGUG
rnacentral:rRNA from 1 species